GUGCUUGCUUUAGCAGCACAUAUAUACUAAAAAUUGGAAUGAUACAGAGAAGAUUAGCAUGGCCUCUGCACAAGCAUGACACUCAAAUAUGUGAAGCAUUCUAUAUUCUU